rnacentral:tmRNA from 1 species
GGGGCCGACCUGGUUUCGACGUGGGUGCGGAUCCGGAGUAGGGCAUGCCGAGCACCAGUCCGCUCGAAAAACCACUGGAAACAAAGUAACUGCAAACGACUCUACGUUCGCACUCGCCGCUUAAUUGCGGUUGAGCUUCUCAACGGCAGGCCGAUGGGCCGGGCUG